rnacentral:rRNA from 1 species
UACGUAGGUGGCAAGCGUUGUCCGGAAUUAUUGGGCGUAAAGCGCGCGCAGGCGGUCCUUUAAGUCUGAUGUGAAAGCCCCCGGCUCAACUGGGGAGGGUCAUUCGAUACUGAUCGACUCGAAGGCAGGAGAGGGAAGCGGAAUUCCCGGUGUAGUGGUGAAAUGCGUAGAUAUCGGGAGGAACACCAGUGGCGAAGGCGGCUUCCUGGCCUGUUCUUGACGCUGAGGCGCGAAAGCUAGGGGAGCAAACGGG